UACGGGGGGGGCAAGCGUUGUUCGGAAUUACUGGGCGUAAAGGGCUCGUAGGCGGCCAACUAAGUCGGACGUGAAAUCCCUCGGCUUAACCGGGGAACUGCGUCCGAUACUGGAUGGCUUGAGUUCGGGAGAGGGAUGCGGGAAUUCCAGGUGUAGCGGUGAAAUGCGUAGAUAUCUGGAGGAACACCGGUGGCGAAGGCGGCAUCCUGGACCGACACUGACGCUGAGGAGCGAAAGCCAGGGGAGCAAACGGGG
rnacentral:rRNA from 1 species